AAUAAUUAAAAUUCUACCCUAUUUCUAUUCACUCCCUUCCAUCUCUCAGACUCUCAGUCCGUCGACUCUCACCCUCACUCUCCAAAAAUUCAUACGCCGCUCCUCCUCGCUCCUCCGUCCAGUUCGAACCCACUCCUCCGUCGAGUCCGUCCACUUCAACGCCGCUCAUCUGUCCAUUCAAAGGCAUUCCUCCGGCGACACACACAAAGACACAGGAGGCCCAAAAUACAGAAUCUGGUGCAACAACUGCAGGAUUUGCUUGCUGUAUGUUAUGUAGAAUCUGGUGCAACAGCUGCAGGAUUUGCAGGGCCAGGCUUAGCAGAAGUUUUACUCGUUUCUUUAUCGCAACAUCAAAGAAGCUGAAUACGUUUAUUCGACUUAACCUUUCAGGAGGAGCUGCUGCUCUAUUUGGACUAUGGAGCUUGUCUAGGUCCUUAAAUUCAUGUGUUAGCCAUUUUCUUUCUCAGGAUGGAAGUCGUAUGCAGGCGGAGUUAGCAACUAUGUAUGUCACCAUUUUUUUUAGGAUGUUUGAUUAUUCACUUUUGUGCAAUUGGCUAGAAACACUGGUUUUCUUCUGGUAUGCAUGAACAGUCAUGUUAGCUGUCUUGGUGUGGAUCUUUAGCCAUCUUGGUGUGGAUCGAUUCUUCAUGAGUUGUAAUUAGGAGUUGAAAAUUUUGAGUUCAUUGUCCUUCUUACAAUUAUGGAAUUGAAGUCCUUCUGAUAUUAUUCAUUCACAAAAACUUCGUUUUCGGGAUAUGACUAAUGUCUGCCCUUCCAUCACAUCUCUGCCAACCCGUUGCUUACUUGGUUUUGUAUGUAAUUAUCUGAGUAUAUAUGGGACAUUACUGUACAUGUAUUUAUCCGGAAAAGAAAUGCAUUGUAGUAUAUGACCAA